AUUGAACGCUGGCGGCAGGCCUAACACAUGCAAGUCGAACGAGUGGCGGACGGGUGAGUAAUGUCUGGGAAACUGCCUGAUGGAGGGGGAUAACUACUGGAAACGGUAGCUAAUACCGCAUUCCACAAGAUGGGCCCAGAUGGGAUUAGCUUGGUGGUGGGGUAACGGCUCACCAAGGCGACGAUCCCUAGCCGGUCUGAGAGGAUGACCAGCCCCACUGGAACUUAGACACGGUCCAGACUCCUACGGGAGGCAGCAGUGGGGUAUAUUGCACAAUGGGCGCAAGCCUGAUGCAGCCAUGCCGCGUGUAUGAAGAAGGCCUUCAGGUUGUAAAGUACUGUCAGCGGGGAGGCGUUACCCGCAGAAGAAGCACCGGCUAACUCCGUGCCAGCAGCCGCGGUAAUUC
rnacentral:rRNA from 1 species